GGUUAAGCGACUAAGCGUACACGGUGGAUGCCCUGGCAGUCAGAGGCGAUGAAGGACGUGCUAAUCUGCGAAAAGCGUCGGUAAGGUGAUAUGAACCGUUAUAACCGGCGAUGUCCGAAUGGGGAAACCCAGUGCAAUUCGUUGCACUAUCGUUAACUGAAUACAUAGGUUAACGAGGCGAACCGGGGGAACUGAAACAUCUAAGUACCCCGAGGAAAAGAAAUCAACCGAGAUUCCCCCAGUAGCGGCGAGCGAACGGGGAGCAGCCCAGAGUCUGAAUCAGCUUGUGUGUUAGUGGAACGGUCUGGAAAGUCCGACGGUACAGGGUGAUAGUCCCGUACACCAAAAUGCACAGGUUGUGAACUCGAAGAGUAGGGCGGGACACGUGGUAUCCUGUCUGAAUAUGGGGGGACCAUCCUCCAAGGCUAAAUACUCCUGACUGACCGAUAGUGAACCAGUACCGUGAGGGAAAGGCGAAAAGAACCCCGGCGAGGGGAGUGAAAAAGAACCUGAAACCGUGUACGUACAAGCAGUGGGAGCACCUUCGGGUGUGACUGCGUACCUUUUGUAUAAUGGGUCAGCGACUUAUAUUCUGUAGCAAGGUUAACCGUAUAGGGGAGCCGCAGGGAAACCGAGUCUUAACUGGGCGUUAAGUUGCAGGGUAUAGACCCGAAACCCGGUGAUCUCAGCCAUGGGCAGGUUGAAGGUUGGGUAACACUAACUGGAGGACCGAACCGACUAAUGUUGAAAAAUUAGCGGAUGACUUGUGGCUGGGGGUGAAAGGCCAAUCAAACCGGGAGAUAGCUGGUUCUCCCCGAAAGCUAUUUAGGUAGCGCCUCGUGAACUCAUCUUCGGGGGUAGAGCACUGUUUCGGCUAGGGGGUCAUCCCGACUUACCAACCCGAUGCAAACUACGAAUACCGAAGAAUGUUAUCACGGGAGACACACGGCGGGUGCUAACGUCCGUCGUGAAGAGGGAAACAACCCAGACCGCCAGCUAAGGUCCCAAAGUCAUGGUUAAGUGGGAAACGAUGUGGGAAGGCACAGACAGCCAGGAUGUUGGCUUAGAAGCAGCCAUCAUUUAAAGAAAGCGUAAUAGCUCACUGGUCGAGUCGGCCUGCGCGGAAGAUGUAACGGGGCUAAACCAUGCACCGAAGCUGCGGCAGCGACACUAUGUGUUGUUGGGUAGGGGAGCGUUCUGUAAGCCUGCGAAGGUGUGCUGUGAGGCAUGCUGGAGGUAUCAGAAGUGCGAAUGCUGACAUAAGUAACGAUAAAGCGGGUGAAAAGCCCGCUCGCCGGAAGACCAAGGGUUCCUGUCCAACGUUAAUCGGGGCAGGGUGAGUCGACCCCUAAGGCGAGGCCGAAAGGCGUAGUCGAUGGGAAACAGGUUAAUAUUCCUGUACUUGGUGUUACUGCGAAGGGGGACGGAGAAGGCUAUGUUAGCCGGGCGACGGUUGUCCCGGUUUAAGCAUGUAGGCUGAUUGUCCAGGCAAAUCCGGAUAAUCAAGGCUGAGGUGUGAUGACGAGGCACUACGGUGCUGAAGUAACAAAUGCCCUGCUUCCAGGAAAAGCCUCUAAGCAUCAGGUAACAUCAAAUCGUACCCCAAACCGACACAGGUGGUCAGGUAGAGAAUACCAAGGCGCUUGAGAGAACUCGGGUGAAGGAACUAGGCAAAAUGGUGCCGUAACUUCGGGAGAAGGCACGCUGGUGUGUAGGUGAAGCCCCUGCGGGUGGAGCUGAGACCAGUCGAAGAUACCAGCUGGCUGCAACUGUUUAUUAAAAACACAGCACUGUGCAAACACGAAAGUGGACGUAUACGGUGUGACGCCUGCCCGGUGCCGGAAGGUUAAUUGAUGGGGUUAUCCGUAAGGAGAAGCUCUUGAUCGAAGCCCCGGUAAACGGCGGCCGUAACUAUAACGGUCCUAAGGUAGCGAAAUUCCUUGUCGGGUAAGUUCCGACCUGCACGAAUGGCGUAAUGAUGGCCAGGCUGUCUCCACCCGAGACUCAGUGAAAUUGAACUCGCUGUGAAGAUGCAGUGUACCCGCGGCAAGACGGAAAGACCCCGUGAACCUUUACUAUAGCUUGACACUGAACAUUGAGCCUUGAUGUGUAGGAUAGGUGGGAGGCUUUGAAGCGUGGACGCCAGUCUGCGUGGAGCCAACCUUGAAAUACCACCCUUUAAUGUUUGAUGUUCUAACGUUGGCCCCUGACCGGGGUUGCGGACAGUGUCUGGUGGGUAGUUUGACUGGGGCGGUCUCCUCCCAAAGCGUAACGGAGGAGCACGAAGGUUAGCUAAUCCUGGUCGGACAUCAGGAGGUUAGUGCAAUGGCAUAAGCUAGCUUGACUGCGAGCGUGACGGCGCGAGCAGGUGCGAAAGCAGGUCAUAGUGAUCCGGUGGUUCUGAAUGGAAGGGCCAUCGCUCAACGGAUAAAAGGUACUCCGGGGAUAACAGGCUGAUACCGCCCAAGAGUUCAUAUCGACGGCGGUGUUUGGCACCUCGAUGUCGGCUCAUCACAUCCUGGGGCUGAAGUAGGUCCCAAGGGUAUGGCUGUUCGCCAUUUAAAGUGGUACGCGAGCUGGGUUUAGAACGUCGUGAGACAGUUCGGUCCCUAUCUGCCGUGGGCGCUGGAGAAUUGAGGGGGGCUGCUCCUAGUACGAGAGGACCGGAGUGGACGCAUCACUGGUGUUCGGGUUGUCAUGCCAAUGGCACUGCCCGGUAGCUAAAUGCGGAAGAGAUAAGUGCUGAAAGCAUCUAAGCACGAAACUUGCCCCGAGAUGAGUUCUCCCUGAGACUUUAAGUCUCCUGAAGGAACGUUGAAGACGACGACGUUGAUAGGCCGGGUGUGUAAGCGCAGCGAUGCGUUGAGCUAACCGGUACUAAUGAACCGUGAGGCUUAACCUU
rnacentral:rRNA from 1 species